rnacentral:rRNA from 1 species
UACUGGUUCGCUAUCGGUCAGUCAGGAGUAUUUAGCCUUGGAGGAUGGUCCCCCCAUAUUCAAACAGGAUAUCACGUGUCCCGCCUUACUCGUUUUCAUCAAAGGUUAGUUUUCGUGUACGGGGCUAUCACCCUGUGCCGCUGGACUUUCCAGACCAUUCCACUAACACCCCUCUGACUUAAGGGCUAAUCCCCGUUCGCUCGCCGCUACUAGGGGAAUCUCGGUUGAUUUCUUUUCCUAAGGGUACUUAGAUGUUUCAGUUCCCCUCGUUUGCCUCGCAACGCUAUGUAUUCACGUUACGAU